CCCAGAUUGUCAACACAGUUUGAAUGCUCAGCCUAUCAACAGCAGAGACCUAGGAUGAUCUCCUAAUGUGGCACCAUUCCCUGGAGGCAUCAGCCAGUGAUUUGGAGACCCAAGUUCCCAAAGGAUGAAUGCUUUUCCAGGAGGCUGACAUUUAUGGAUUGUAUCAACAAGGCUCUCUUGCUCUCUGGCUGUUCGUUGGAUUCAUGCAGAAGGAGGCACCAUCAGAAAUUGAAGAAUGGGAAGAAGAGAUUAGAAUAUUCCUUGAGCUUCCUCUUU